UGUACAAUGGUGAGCAGACGUCACUGUCCCU
rnacentral:piRNA from 1 species